rnacentral:lncRNA from 1 species
GUCCUGCACUAUUUGUAAAUACCAAUUUUUCUUUAUCCAUUCAUACAGGACAUACAGGCUCUCAAGAUUUAGGUAUUAUGAAUUGUGCCUCUACAUACAUGGAUCACUGUAAUAUGAUGUCUGUAACAUUUUCUAGAAGAUUCCUAGAAACGGAACGACAUGGGAUUUAUCAAGCAAACUAUUAAGAAAUAACUGGACCUCUGGAGUCCCACCGAAAGGGAGACAGCCACAUCCUCCUCCUGGGGGGACAGGAACUCGUGUGUAUGUAGAAAAGAUGGCUCCACAGGUGCAGGGCUAAAGCAGCACUAGGCCUUGUGGAACUGCAAGGUCAGUCUUGUUGAAUGUGAAUCUGCUAUGGUCAUCUUUGGGGAGCUAAAGAUUUCCAUUUUUAGAUCCAGUUUCUGAAACUUAAAAGACUGUGUGAAAGCAGGCUCCAUGCAGGUGUAACCCCAGCACUCUAGGAGGGUGAGGCAAAAGGAUCGAAAGUUUGAGGCCAGCCUGGGCAACUUAGCAAGCCCUUGUCUCAAAAUAAAAAAAGGGUGAAGGUUGUCGGUUCAGUUCCCAGCACUGCAAAAUACCACAGCCAUCAGCAGCAGCAGCAGGAGCAGUGGCAGCAGCAUCCUGAGGGGAUAAUAGGACCUGGUCACUCAGCCCUUCAGCGGUCCUGAGAGACUCUACCUGCUCUCUGGUAGCUUGGAGUCAUGGUUACAGAACAAAGCCUGGGUGUGACCACAGGACAGAGACCAAUCUGGGUAAGGCUUGUAGAAAGAGCCUCCUCGGUUGGCAGAAAUGCUUCAUGGACUCACCUGGCCAACCAUGCCUUCCCUUGUUCUCCUUGAGCUCCCUCCUGCAAAAUGAGCUCCUUCAUAUAAGCAUCUUGGGGACUCAGGGUGCUGAAUUUCAUAAGCAUUCCGCUUAUGUCACAGGUAUGCAUUUCAUAUCUGUCAAGGUGCCGUAACAAGGUGCUGCAGAUGAUUAAAUUACAUUUUUAAA